rnacentral:rRNA from 1 species
UGGGGAUGACGUCAGGUCAUCAUGCCCUUUAUGUCCAGGGCUACACACGUGCUACAAUGGCCGGUACAACGGGCUGCGAUACCGCGAGGUGGAGCGAAUCCCUUAAAGCCGGUCUCAGUUCGGAUUGGAGUCUGUAACUCGACUCCAUGAAGGCGGAAUUGCUAGUAAUCGCGAAUCAGCAACGUCGCGGUGAAUACGUUCCCGGGUCCUU